rnacentral:rRNA from 1 species
CAGCACCUCAAGUUGUCAGGAUGAUUAUUGGGCCUAAAGCAUCCGUAGCCGGCUCUGUUAGUUUUCGGUUAAAUCUGUACGCUUAACGUACAGGCUGCCGGGAAUACUGCAGAGCUAGGGAGUGGGAGAGGUAGACGGUACUCGGUAGGAAGGGGUAAAAUCCUUUGAUCUAUUGAUGACCACCUGUGGCGAAGGCGGUCUACCAGAACACGUCCGACGGUGAGGGAUGAAAGCUGGGGGAGCAAACCGGAUUAGAUACCCGAGUAGUCC